GGGAGCAGUAAGAAGGAAUCCUGGCCUAAAAUACAAUUAUUACUGAAGAAGUUUAAGAAGAAUUGUUAUGUAAGCAGCUUCCAUUUUAAAAAAAAUUAAAUUAGAAGCCAUUAAUUUUAAUGCUAUCUAUGAGUUAUCAGGAGUCCCCAGUGGUACGGAGUCCCUGGUGGCGCAGCGGAUUAAACCACUGAGCUGCUGAACUUGCUGACCAAAAGGUCGGCAGUUCCAAUCCGGGGAGCAGGGUGAGCUGCUGCUGUUAGCCCUAACUUCUGCCCACCUAACAGUUCAAAAAAUGCAAAUGUGAGUGGAUCAAUAGGUACCGCUCCAGCAGGAUGAUAACAGCGUUCCAUGCAGUCAUGCUGGACAUGACUAGACUUAAUGUCAGGGGAAAACCUUUACCUAAACCUAUGAUUUAUCAAAAAGUGGCACUUCUGCUAACAUUAGCCCACAGACAUUUGGCUCUGGUGAAAUCCAUUGGGGGUGAACUGAUAUUGCAAAGGAAAAUGAGUUGAUUAAAAAGAACCAGAUUAGAUCCACCUGUAUUCUUAAAAUAUUUACAUAUGCUCUAAAAUAGCAUGAAAAAAAUAUAGCAGUUUCACUCCUUUGAUUACUGUCUGGAUUACUGUAACACGUUCUAUGUGGGGUGGCCUCUGAAGAGUGCUCAGAAACUUCAGCUGGUCCAAAGAGCUGCAGCCAGGUUGCUAACCAGGCUGGCUACAGGCAGUGAACAAUCCCCUGUUGCAGCAGCUCCACUGUCUGCCAGUCUGUUUCUGGGCACAAUUCAAAGUGCUGGUUUUGUCCUUUAAAGCCCUAGAUGGUUUGGGUCCAAGCUAUUUGGCUGACUGCGUCCCCUUGUACGAAUCUGCCCGGGCUUUCUCUGUGGCUGCUUCACGACUCUGGAACUCCCUGCCCAGGAAGCUGCUGGAGGACUGGUUGGCGUCCUGAGGAAAAACCUACAAGAGGCCCCCCAUGCGCCCCGCUGCCCCGAAGCCUCCGAAGGCAAAGUCCAGCCUGAACCUGGGGCUCCUUGGAGGAAGAGGAGGAGAAAGAGAAAGCGGAGAAGGAGCAGCAGCACCUGGCCAACGAGCUCACACACACCUUGGCAGAGUGCCGGAAGCUGGCCAAAGAGAUGGAGCGCUUCAGGCAACUCGCACCAGAUGCAGAUGCAAUGCUGGAGGCCGUACCAGACCAUCUUUGGCAGAUGCAGUGCAGCCAUGACUGAGGCGAUGCAUCCUUAUUUCCAGACAGUUACAUUUUCUGGGCUGAGCAACAUGCACGCAGAACUUCCUUUGAUCAGCACCUUGGUAGCUGCGGCAGAAUGGAGUUGGAGAGGCCUACAAUGGGAGGGCCUGCUGCCUCUCCUGUUAACAGCAGGAAGUAAAGACAACCCACCUGAUGUCCUCAUCGUCCACUUAGAAGGCAAUGACCUUGGACUUUUGAAGGGAAAGGCGCUUAGUGAACAGGCUUGGCUGAUAUCCGGAAAUUGAAGGAGGCCUGAUCACAGACAAGAAUGAUGUGGUCUACAAUCAUACCACGCCACACACGAUUGGCGGGUGGUACUAAUAAGCAAAUGGACGAGGCCCGAAGACAGGCCAAAAGAUCAAUGCUGAAGGCUUUCAGCGAUGGGCUGGGUAUGGUAAUUAAGCAUCCAUGAUCACGAGAAGUAGAUCUGACUUUUACCGAGGGGACGGCAUCCACUUGUCGGAUGCAGGCAACCAUCAGUUUCUGUGUGAUCUCCAUCCAGGGAUUGUGGGAUUGCCUCAUUUUGGGGGGGAGGCAGGGCCGGUCCAACGUGGUAAGCUGAUUACGCCUUGGCGCACGGCGUUUUGCUCCAGUGUUUGUCCUGGCACCAGGUGCCGGCGGUGCCACCGUUGCACCGCCGCCGUUGGCCGCCAUUGCCUCCUCAAGGAAAUAGAGGCCCUGCACGCAGCGCACGCACACAGCAGCACAGGACUGGCAUCCCAUCACCCAAAAUGGCCAAUGGGACUCCUGUGUGCGUGCACGGAGCUUCACACUCACGCGGACAUGCCAGCCCCAUGCCCCGCGCACGCACACAAGAGUCUUAUCAGCCAUUUUGGCUGUUCCUGUGUGCGCAUCGCCAGCACUGCAACCACACGACUCGAGCCACCCAUCACGUGGAACAGCCGGCCCGGAGGUGAUAGGGCCCGGCUGACUCAAGGGAAAGACCCCGGAGAGACUCAUGCCUCGAGGAUGCGGACGAGAGCACUAAAAGGUACUCCCUUCUUCAUAUCUCCAUCUCUCUCCUUGCCUGGCGAAAAAGAGUGAGACUGCCUUCCUUCUCCAUCCAGAAGAUGUGUUCUUUCUUCCUCCUUUCCCAGUGGGGAAGAGCUUUGAUCCUAGAUCCCUGGGGAAGAGGUGAGUCCCUUCCCCAAAUAGAGACACACACACAAAAUCCCAAAACCCAACACGUUCCUCUUUAGAGAGCAGCUGAACUUCUUCGGAACCUCUCCAAAGGCAACCUUGGAUGCGAGAAACGUAGAGAACAAAGGAAGCGCGGGAAAGGAAGGGGGAAAAAAGGGUGGAGAUGGGGAGUUUGGGUGACGGAGAACGAGGGAAGCUUGCUUCUUAUUCCCCGAGCCCAGUCCUCGCUUGACCCUUUCAGCGCCUCUUUAAUGAGCCCCCCAAAAGAAGGUCUCUUUCCUCUCCUUCCCCGUGUGCCCUGGGGACUUUUAUGCACAGAGAGUCCCUCCAGCUCUCCCUCUCCAUGCCUGUUUCUUGCCUCGGUUGGGAUUCCAGCCUCUUUUUUCCCAUCCUCCCAACAUCUCCCCCACCCUUUGCCUCACUCUCCACCCCCCUUUCCCCCUCUUCUCCCCACCUCUCCUCCCUUCCAAGUCUGAAGUUUCCACAGUGUGUGCAAAAGCAAAGCGCUCUCCAAGGGUCGGGCGGUGCUGGCUGCUUCCAUCGCCUUGGUUGGGAUUGAUCCAGAGCUUUUCUCUCUUAUAUAUAUAUAUAUACACACCCUCCUAACCUGCUCAGGAUUUUUUGUGGGGUGGAGAGGGGGCUGUUUAACCCCCCAGGUGAUUAUUUUGGAAGGGAAGCAGUUUGGAAGAAGCUUGGAGAGAAGCUCUCCUUUGGUGGGGUGGAGCUGGGAAGAAUCACAGCAGAAAGGCAGGAGAGGAGGAGGAGGGGAGCCAAGAUGGGACCCCCACCUGCCUGAAAUGACUGCCAUUGGAAAUUGAGACAUUGAGAAAAGAUUGAAAGAAAAAGAGGCAGCAGGAAACCUCUUUCUUCCUCUUGGAGUUCUUAAAGUCGGGUUUGGGGUUCCCCCCCCCCCCGCUAUUCUUUUUGUCCUUUGUUGGGGGGGGGGUUGUUUUUGCUGUCGACCCCAUUUUUUUGCUGCCUGAGCUCCUGUGGACAACAAGGCAUGACUAUGCACAUGGGGAGCCCGAGAUUCGUGAAACUAAGGUAAGGAAAAGGAAGGCGCCUGCCUCAGCCCCAUUCCUCAUUGACUCUGACCACAAACCAGUGGGGUUUAUCUAUCUGUGGAAGGUCCAGGGUGGGAAAAAGAACUCUUGUCUGUUGGAGGCAAAGUGGUAAUGCUUCAGUUAAUCACCUUGAUUAGCACUGAAGAGCCUUGCAGUUUCAAAGCCUGGCUGAUUACUGCCUGGAGAGGCAACCAAGGCAGUUUCCUUUUUUGUGGUGCGUAAAACACGUUGGAAAACCCACUUAGUUCAUGAGCGUCGGGUAAAGAGAGGACCCCAGAAUUGAGAUGAGGUCUCUUGGGAGACUGAGAGGUGUAGCCUCUCCCCCAAAGCUGCAGAAAAAGGAGGCGAAGAGUGCCUUAGGAUCGCUCCCAUCUAUCCAAUCCCUCUAUCCAAAGGGUUUGUUUGGGUCCCAAUUUUCUUUGAAUAUUUUUAUUGAUGUUUUUUAAUUUACAAUUAAAAAUAAAAGAAAAAACGUGGAAUUCAUGGUGGGGGGAGGGGGAAUUGGGUGAGGGGGAGAGGAUCGGUAUAUUCCAUUAGAUCUUCGGUUGAAUGAGUCUAGUCUCUUUGUGGAGCAAGUUGCUGAAUGUAGAGUAGUUUUUUUUUAUUAGGGGGCAGAUUGUGGCCCCCUUUUAUAUUGCCCGGGUUGGCUAUUUCUUAUUUCACUUAUGGAGUUCCUUUGAUCUGUGUCUGUCUUUUUCUUAUAUAUUCCUCAAAAUUUGACCAGUCUGUUUCUUUGAUUGGUUUUCCAUUAUGCUUCUUCAUCAGGAAAGUCAGUCUUGUCCAUGUUCUUUAUUUCCCAUAUCUUUGAUUUCCAUUUUUUAAAUGUUCCCUACCAUCCUGAUUUACCUUGAUUCAAACAGCUCGUGAUAGGGCUUGUUGUCCAAACCCUUGUUUAUUUUAGUCACUCUCCUCUAGACAUAUUCAUAUUAUCAUUUCUUAUUAUUAUUAAAAUCAUAGUCCAGAAUCAGUCCAGUGGUCAAUACUUAAAAAGGCCUCAAGUAUUGCACUGCUGGAAUUAUUUCUCAAAUGCUUGGUCCAGAACUAUGCGUAGCAAGGCUAUUCCAUGCUAAUCAAGGUGAUCAAUUCCAGUUAUUCACACUUGCCCUUCAUAUUAUCCAAAAUUUUUGCUUAUCCAACGCUCUGCUGGCCCAUUUAUGUGGGAUUGGCAUUAAUUCUAUGUAAUGUUACUAUAUGAACAUAAUGUUGUAAAUAAACUUCUGGUUUGUAAGGUAAACUCUUUUAUCCAUUCUAUUCACCUCUACCUUCUUUUAUUUCUGGGUGAUUGGUUUGGGGGGGGGCACCAAAAUUUCUGUUUGCUUACACUUGAAAAUUACCUUGGGCCAGCUCUGGGGGGAGAAGUUGGCCUUGGAGGGUCAAGGCCUCAAUUGUAUUGCUUAACAAAGUCAAGUGUAAGUUCAAGUUCAAGGGCAAGUUCAAGUUAUGUUCAUGCUCUUUAAUUUUGUUUGUAGAUCACACAGAUAUUGAUUGGUAACAUAUAAUAAAGUUGCCCAUAUUUAAACCCA